ncrna:unclassified sequences TwoGGAY RNA
UGAAAGUCUGUUGUACUGUUUCUUAUGCUUUCCCUAGAUAUCCAGAUAGGCGGGUACACGGAUGUACCCGCCAGUGAGACCACGCCAAGGACGGCGUGUUCGAACGGUAUCGUCCGGUAAAAACAUCUAUAUGGAAAGUAUUAGAAACAGUAAACAGGCUUUCU